AACACGAAGACUAUUAGCGAUCGGGAGCAACGAGAAAUAGAAGAGGAAAGAUAUCUACCGGUUCGGACGAGUAUGUACGUAAUUGCCGCACGAAAAAUAGACGAUCUUCGAGCAAUCUAUGAUUUAAUCGUUACGUAAUCGACUCUUUACCGCGUAAUACCGCUUGGCGUGCGAAUCGUUGCAUUCUUUGGAACGAAUCUUCGAUUCCAUUCUGUUCCGAACGCAGAUGACAACGUUACGCGUCUCAACCCACUCGAGACAAACUUCUUUUUCAACAACGAGUUUUACCAGUUUUAUAAGGUUCGGCCGUGACGCGGUUGACGGUGAAUUUUUUAUUACGCGAUACACGUAACGUUGAAAUAUUACCAACGAGAGAUACGUUACGUUACGAUGUAUAAUCAUCGUUGAUGAAUUUAUCUCAUUGUGGUUACCGGUGACCCCGAUGGCAUUCAACGUGUUAAUAUCACAGGCUGUACAAUGUGCUUUAGUUUAAAAAUUUGAAUUGAAAAUUGAUCGUUUAUAACGAGAUUAUCCUACGUCCCGAUAAAGCGCGUAGUCUCUAAAGCAGAUAGUCUGUAAAAUUUUCCUUCGGUUUCGUCUCGUUACCAGAGUAACCGAUAGCCGCAAGAAGCAUCAGAAAAUAUCCUUACGCGCCGUGUUAGUGUGUUUUCGAUAAAAUCUAUUAUUAUCGAACUGCGAGGCAAAAUUCUUGCACGAGUUGCGUAACGAAAAAUUACGUGCGUUUUAAUAAUUCUGCAAUUUCACGUAAUUACCGAUACGAUAAAUGUCACGGCGGGGCACGUGCAAUUUAAUACGUGGCACGUAACGUGUGCAUCCUUGCUACUUAAGGUCAAUGUCGCACCAUAAAACGAUACCAAACGUUCAAUUUUUAAACGAACGUACAGUACGUCCGAUUAAUUCGCGGCAGAGGCAAUCGAUCGUGUUUAAAAAACGAGAAACGUAUCAGAGUUUAUUCUCCGUUGCGCCGCUACCAUACGAUUACGAGCCUAUAAUUAGCGUUACGCUCGCACGCACGGUAACUUUGCACGAUCCAGGACAACCUCGCUUAACCACCAACGAAAAACGAGUUCCAAGCUUCUUUAACGAAGCGUUCACCUCGCUUCUACGCCGCAGGUGUUUUCCAAAUCGGCUUCCGCGAAUCCUCGGCGAAAGCUGAUUUUUCCAUAAAUUCUUCGUCGAUGCCAGAAACGGGUCCCUUGCGAUUCUUGGAAUUGCACGUGCGACAGGUGUUUUACAUGGCAAAGAUGCUGCAACUAUAUGUAUACGGUGUUGAGCGAAGAAAGACGCGAGGCUAGUAUAUACUUUGCGACGUUACACAAAUCCUGACGAGUUAUGGAAAACGUUAUGCGGUCCUUUCAACACUGUGCAGACCGCGCAAUGUCGUUCGGAGCUUCUCGUCGACUCGACUCGACUCGACUCGACACGACUCGACUCGACUGGAAGAAAAAUUUCGCCUAGCCCGACAUUAACGACUUUCAAGCGGAUUUAAUAAGCGGUUUCUCGUCGACGACGGUCGGAAACGUUUGCGGCGAGAAGCGAGGACACCAGAAGAAUUCACCCGACGACAGUAUAGAUUGCCUUAAGUGCUUUCAAGUGUCGGUAAAACGCGAGCGGUGGCAACGCUUAAAGUAGAACCCCGUGGCGUUCGUAGAGAGCGUGGCCCAAUUUCGACGCAGAUUCCAGUCGACUACCCGUGCCGGCCACGAUACGCAUAAUUAGCGAGACGAGUCAGCCAAAGCGAUCGAGCGAAACCCAUUCGUACCAGGUGCGGGCGUUAUUUCGAGCUGGAUGUGACAAGUUCCGAGAAUGGAAGGAACGACGCUGCCAACUUCCCCCGAUAAGAAGACGACGAAUUUCCAGGGUCGCGAAUUACGCGGAACGACCCGGCAAAAAGCUCCAGAAAGAAGAACGAGAAAGGGAAAUCAUCAGGCCCGCGAGGGAAAAUGGAAGAAAGACGCGGUGAAGAGGAAACGCGAAGAAAAAGAAAGUCGAAGAGGGGAAAAUGUGGGGUAACAAGUUCUGCCUCGAAGCACUUCGUUCCCGACAGACGAACCGGACGAAAGCGAAGAAUCGAAAAAGCCGACGCGUGCCCAACGUGUACGUUAAUCGUUAUAGUGGCAAACGAUAAAUGUCACAGAAUAAUUCUCUAAGAAAUAUUCGCAGAAGAAGCGCAUUUUAAACGAUGAGAUGUUUAACGAGUGUUAAAUUUUCUGAGACAAAAGAUUCUCUCUUAUAAAAAAAGAAAGAAGAAGAACGUUACGUCCGGUGAGCCUCUACGGUCGAGGCGACCACUAGCUGUGCACAUAGAAUUAAGCGGACUGCGAUAAUCCUAAGGAACUUUCAUAAAACGAAGCUUUUCUAUUUACCGUUAAAACCGUUAAUUGGCAUGAAACAUCUUCGAGUCUAAAAGUUCCUUAUGGUUCUUGCUCCACCAAGUAAAAAUUGGGGAAAGGUAGGUUUCCACGUUUCCCGGGGUUCCACUCGCAAGCGACGAGUGGUCGAUCACCAUCGAGCAAGAGUUUUCUUUGCAACAGCAUCGUCACCGAACUUCACUGAUUCGUCAUCUUUAGAACAAUCAAUAUCUCUUUUCCGGGUUUCCACCCUUCAGUCAGUCACUUAUUUAACUUAUGCCUUACGCAUCAUCGUAACUAUCUUUUCUACGAGGUUGUUGGAAAUAUGUAAUAUCUUUGAACUGUUAAUCAAGCAUUUCACUCAUUAAAACCACCUCUAUUAUCCUAAUCGAAAUAGGGGAUCGAUCAA